rnacentral:misc_RNA from 1 species
AAAUGAACUGUAAAUAAGUUUAAAAGUUGUAUUUUAUUAUUUUCUAGUUUAUAUUGUUACACAUGUAUUAAGGUAUUAAUACAUGUAUUACAUAUCAUAAUUGUUAAAAUUAUAUAAAUAUUUUAUAUUUGGGUUGGAUUGAGCUUACCACACCUCAAGUUUUCUUGACGUAACCCUGCCUAGGUCAUGCAACAGGCUCAAAUUUUUGGGCUGGAAAAACCAGACUUUGAGGUAGUUUAAUUCGUAAUGUGAAACGAAAUGAAAUCUGUGUACGAAAUGAAAUAUGUGAGUGUGUGUGUGUGUGUGUAUGGUGCAGUACCUCAUGAGUUUGGAG